rnacentral:rRNA from 1 species
UACAUGUACAGGAUAGGUGGGAGGCUUUGAAACCAGGACGCCAGUUUUGGCGGAGCCAUCCUUGGGAUACCACCCUUGUAGUACUGGGACUCUAACCAUAGGCCAUGAAUCUGGUCUUGGGACACUGUCAGGUGGGCAGUUUGACUGGGGCGGUCGCCUCCCAAAAGGUAACGGAGGCGCUCAAAGGUUCUCUCAGUACGGUCGGAAAUCGUACGUAGAGUGUAAAGGCAAAAGAGAGCUUGAUUGCAAGACAUACAGGUCGAGCAA